rnacentral:rRNA from 1 species
UACGAAGGGGGCUAGCGUUGCUCGGAAUCACUGGGCGUAAAGCGCACGUAGGCGGAUUGCUAAGUCAGGGGUGAAAUCCUGGAGCUCAACUCCAGAACUGCCUUUGAUACUGGAGAGCUUGAGUCCGGGAGAGGUGAGUGGAACUGCGAGUGUAGAGGUGAAAUUCGUAGAUAUUCGCAAGAACACCAGUGGCGAAGGCGGCUCACUGGCCCGAUACGUGACG